UGUCUCUGUCUGUGCCACGUCUUAGUUACCAGUCAUGUUUUGUUUCCAGUUUUAGGUUUAUUCAAGUGUUUUGUUGGUUAUCUGUUGUGGGACUUUGUUUUGUUUGGUUUAUCCAUGUUCCUUGUUUGCCCCUUUUUUUUGGAAAUUAAAUAUAACUUUUUGAGACUCCUGUACUCAUGCCUUGCCUACCUGCUUCCCCGCACUUGGGUCCUCCAUGUUUUUGCCUCGUCUUCCUCGCUUUCCAAAAAACAAUCGUGACAUGAAACCAGCGACCCAAAUGAGAAUAAGCAGUAUAGAAAAUGGAUGGACGUUAUCUGAAGUAUAAGCAAACCCACAUUUGAAUCAGUCAGACUCCAGCAUCAAAUUAAUUAAGCACUUAGUGGCGAUAAAGACGGAGCAUCACUCAACCCUUCUCAUCUCAAGUUCAUCAUCAUCUAAUGCUUGAAAUGAAUCCAAAGACACGAGGCACAUGCUUCGAACACAUUUGGUGCGGCAAACAAUCAGGGCUCCUUGACUGGUCGCAAGCAGAGCGGCAAGUGUGCUUAAUGAGCUUGCUCGGGGCAGCUAUGGGGACUGCUUAUUGAUUGGAACUGCCCGGCCCGCCUGUCCACGGCUGUGGGUGAGAGAACCUGAGGACACAGCUUCCCAGAGUCCAGAUGCAGCCAUAGUGCAUCCUCCCCUGCACAACCACUGCCCCCCUCCACACAGCAUGCUGCUCAGAAACACACAAACAGGCAUGGGCGCACAAACUAACAAGCGGAGACAUAAACUAGCAGACAGCCUCCCACGUGAUCAAUGAAGCGGUCGGGCGUUUUAAAUAAAAUCCAGCAAAGAUUUCACAGAUAUAAAAUAAAGACACGGGACCAUUCAUUCGUUGUCUCGUUGGGGUUCCUGCAAGCACAGAUCUGCCUGCUUGCUUGUGUGCGAGGAGUAUUGAGGAGCGGGCCGAGGAAGAGUGAUGGGGGUCAGGCUUCAGAGUAGUUGGCAGCCCUUACGAACCUCACAACCCCCCAUUCUGACAAGCUGUCCAGGGCACAGUUUGUUUGCACAAGGUGAUAAAUAAUUUGGCCUGCACUGACAUGGAUUAAUAUGCCCCUUAGCCCCUUUUCCUCCCUCUGCGUUUGGUCACACAAAUGUUUGCCCCCUACAAAUUGUGAGCGCUCCAUAGUGAAAUGUGCCGUACCAAGACAUGAACCACUUCCUGCGAUAUGAACUUCAGCUCACAACACAAUCCAUUCUGAGACAUUGCUUUGUCUUUGGCUUUUUUUUUGCAUCUCAUAUUCAGAAAGAAGGAGCAGCCUCAACAUCAUUCUCUACUCCAUAAUCACUUGGGAUUUUUUAUAUAGUGGACUUUAUAGUUGACUUUCUUCAUUAUCUUUUUUUUAUUUAAAACUAAAAGUGAUACGUUAAAAGAUGCAAAGAACUAAUAAGUACUGUAAUGAGUAGAUUUGCAUUCAGUGAUUUUUAUAUAAAAGACAUCUUGCUAUAAAAUGCGCAAGCGACCAGAAUCAGCUGAUUUAUUCAUGGCCAACGAACACGUGUUCUCCCAUAAUGUGAGUGUAUGAUUAAAUGCUUGCAUCAUAAACA